rnacentral:rRNA from 1 species
GACAGAGGGUGCAAACGUUGUUCGGAAUUACUGGGCGUAAAGGCGCGUGUAGGCGUGCUUCGCAAGUCGGUGUGAAAGCCCCUGGGCUCAACCCAGGAAGUGCAUUCGAAACUGCAGAGCUGGAGUCCUGGAGAGGAAGGCGGAAUUCUCGGUGUAGAGGUGAAAUUCGUAGAUAUCGAGAGGAACACCGGUGGCGAAGGCGACCUUCUGGACAGUGACUGACGCUGAGACGCGAAAGCGUGGGGAGCAAACAGG